rnacentral:rRNA from 1 species
UCGAUUUACCUUCGGGUAUUGAGGAUGGCGGACGGGUGAGUAACGCGUAAGGAACUUGCCUCUUGGUCUGGGACAACUGUUGGAAACGACAGCUAAUACCGGAUAUUAUGAGAUUCUCGCAUGGGAAACUUAUGAAAGCUAUAUGCGCCAAGAGAGAGCCUUGCGUUCCAUUAGCUAGUUGGUGGGGUAACGGCCCACCAAGGCGACGAUGGAUAGCCGGCCUGAGAGGGUGAACGGCCACAAGGGGACUGAGACACGGCCCUUACUCCUACGGGAGGCAGCAGUGGGGAAUAUUGGACAAUGGGCCACAAGCCUGAUCCAGCAAUUCUGUGUGCACGAUGAAGGUCUUCGGAUUGUAAAGUGCUUUCAGUUGGGAAGAAGAAAGUGACGGUACCAACAGAAGAAGCGACGGCUAAAUACGUGCCAGCAGCCGCGGUAAUACGUAUGUCGCAAGCGUUAUCCGGAUUUAUUGGGCGUAAAGCGCGUCUAGGCGGAAAAAUAAGUCUGAUGUUAAAAUGCGGGGCUCAACUCCGUAUUGCGUUGGAAACUGUUUUUCUAGAGUACUGGAGAGGUGGGCGGAACUACAAGUGUAGAGGUGAAAUUCGUAGAUAUUUGUAGGAAUGCCGAUGGAGAAGUCAGCUCACUGGACAGAUACUGACGCUAAAGCGCGA